AAAUACAAAAAAGGAAAGAUAAGAUAAAAAGUAAAAGACAGAAGAUAAAAGUGGCGGUUAAUUGGUGAAGACAAAUAUAUCGAUAGUAAUGUCUCGACAGCAAAGGCAAGAAAAUUGGAGGGAAUCUUAUUUGUUACUCUCUCCCUCUCUCUCUCGCUUUCUCUCGCUUGCAAUUUAUUUAAACCGUUUUCCUUAUCAUGGUGACGAAAAUGUUUAACCUUUUAUCGGUAAAUUAAUCAUCUUGCCAGUAAAUUGUUAGCCAAUAAGAAAUGAGAUUAGAAACUAACUGACAAAAAUGGAAAGUCGCAUCGACGAAAUUGUUUUAACUUGUGUGUGAAAAAUCAAAAAUAAAUUCUCAUUUGAAAUGAAUAAAAAUGAAACAUCUUCAAUAACUCUUUUGCUACCUCAUUAUUUUAAUUUCUAUCUCUUAUUUUUUGGUAAGUUGAUUUAGUUUUACUGUCAUUGCUGAUUUGUCCAUCAAUCUUACUCUUCGGAUGAUCAUUUUCAGGCUACAAUGUUCCUUAUGAUACAACCAGCCUGCUUCCAAUGGGAAAAUGAUACUUUCAACCAGCCAAAAGGGAUAUGUUGAGAGCGAAAGAAGUAAGCAAAAUAGAUUAAAAGGAAAAGAUUGAUUAAUCUGGAAACAUCAUCUACAAAUCGUGAUCACAAGCGAAUAACCAACACAAAAAAGGUUAUAAAGACAUGCUGCUGGCUUUUUUUGUGGCUAGUCACCAUCAUUAUCAUCCUAAUCAUAAUCGACAACAACAAAAAAACCUCCUGAUGAACCCAAUGAGAUGCUGAAAAAUGGAAAGUUCAAUUUUUUUCUGAUUGGGUUAAGAGGUGAAUAUUUACGGAUGGACCGAAGCAGACCUUACAAAAGGUGCAUCUCAACCAAGUUGAAUUUCAUUUUGAAUGGCAAAAAAGGACAAUGCUGUUUGAAAAUGGGGAUAGAUGGGAAAUUGAAACAAAGAAAGGUCUGGUAAAAAGUAUAUCAUCAAGCAAACAAAGCGAAGCAAUAAUGAAUCGUGAGAGAAGUGUUGACAACUUGUAUUUUGAAAGACUAUCAUCUUCAUCAACAUCAGACCGAUCAAUUUCAUGAUGAAAUGUAAUGAGACCUGUUACAUACCUCAAAGCGAUCAUCACUACCAUUAUUCCUCGGUGAAAAAUUGUGGGCGAUAAAACAAUAUUAGCCAUUCAUUCAAAAAUUACUUUUCAUGAUUUGAAUGAUGAAUAUAUAAAUACAUUUUUUGCAUCAAACUAGCCCACAAAAAAAGAUGAAUUUCUUGACUGUUCUCAAAAAGUUAUCUACAUGUAUUAGGUGAUUUUGAAGAAGCAAAAAGAUGAAAGGAAAAGGGAACGAAAAGGAAAACAGAAAGCAACGUCAGAAAAUGAAAAUGGUAGGAGUUGAUGGACAUAAAGGUUGACCCUAAGCGUACUCUUCAACUAUCUGUCAAUUUAGUCAACAUCAAUUAUGAUAACAACAACAACGUGAACAACAUCGCCAACAAUAGUACAUCUAAUAAUGAGAAUAAUAACGACAAGUUGAAAAGGAAAACCCAAAUGAGAGUCAAAAUUAGCCUCACAACGUUGAAAUGAAAAGCAAAAUAAGGAUGAACUCAUAAGUCGCAAAGUAUUGGAUUUUUUAGGACAAGAUCACAAAUAUAACAAAUAAAUUCAAAUUAAGAUAACUUGGUUGAAACUAAAAUCAUUGAAAACGCUGAAAAAACAUAAUGACGAGACUGAUAAGUUAAAUAUGAUGAAUAGAGAGGAAAGUCAAUAAAAAGAAUAGACAAAAAAGAAGAAAAAUAUUCAAGAAAUCAUGAUGGUAAUUAUGAUGAAAGAAAAAGCUGAUAAUGUUCCAGGAAGAAAAGGAGCCUGAAUUCAUGCCACAAGUGGAAGCUUGUACUGAAAACUGCGUACGAUGGGUCAAUAUUUUAUCGUAGACUAAAUGUUUGGCUAUCAUACAUUUUCGUGAGUUGAUUGUUAGCAUCAUUGCCAGUUUUAUGGACAUCAAGAGAAACGAGUUCAACAAGACAAUCAUAUUGCUUGGGAGCGAGAGAAUAACAAAUAACUUUAGGAAGAAGAAUGAAAAUGGUAAGA